rnacentral:rRNA from 1 species
GAUGAACGCUAGCGGCAGGCCUAACACAUGCAAGUCGAGGGAGAGGUUACCUUCGGGUAACCAAAACCGGCGCACGGGUGCGUAACGCGUAUACAAUCUGCCUUUCACAUAGGGAUAGCCCGAAGAAAUUUGGAUUAAUACCUAAUGGUAUAUAAGAGCGGCAUCGUUUUUAUAUUAAAGCUACGGUGGUGAAAGAUGAGUAUGCGUUCUAUUAGCUAGUUGGAGAGGUAACGGCUCCCCAAGGCGACGAUAGAUAGGGGUUCUGAGAGGGAUGUCCACCACACUGGUACUGAGAUACGGACCAGACUCCUACGGGAGGCAGCAGUGAGGAAUAUUGGACAAUGGUCGGAAGACUGAUCCAGCCAUGCCGCGUGCAGGAGGAAGGUCCUAUGGAUUGUAAACUGCUUUUGUAAGGGAAGAAUAAGGAGUACGUGUACUUUGAUGACGGUACCUUACGAAUAAGCAUCGGCUAACUCCGUG